CCUACGGGAGGCAGCAGUGGGGAAUAUUGCACAAUGGGGGAAACACUGAUGCAGCGACGCCGCGUGAGUGAAGAAGUAUUUCGGUAUGUAAAGCUCUAUCAGCAGGGAAGAAAAUGACGGUACGUGAUUAAGAAGCCCCGGCUAACUACGUGCCAGCAGCCGCGGUAAUACGUAGGGGGCAAGCGUUAUCCGGAUUGACUGGGUGUAAAGGGAGCGUAGACGGCAGCACAAGUCUGGAGUGAAAUGCCGGGGCUUAACCCCGGAACUGCUUUGGAAACUGUGCAGCUAGAGUGCAGGAGAGGUAAGUGGAAUUCCUAGUGUAGCGGUGAAAUGCGUAGAUAUUAGGAGGAACACCAGUGGCGAAGGCGGCUUACUGGACUGUAACUGACGUUGAGGCUCGAAAGCGUGGGGAGCAAACAGGAUUAGAUACCCGAGUAGUC
rnacentral:rRNA from 1 species